rnacentral:rRNA from 1 species
GAUCAUGGCUCAGGAUGGACGCUAGCUACAGGCUUAACACAUGCAAGUCGCGGGGCAGCAUGAAGUCAGCUUGCUGACUUUGAUGGCGACCGGCGCACGGGUGAGUAACGCGUAUCCAACCUGCCUGUUACCACGGCACAGUCCGUCGAAAGGCGGAUUAAUGCCGUAUGUGGUCUUGAAAGGGCAUCUGAUCAUGACUAAAGGUUCAGCGGUAACGGAUGGGG